ACCUCUAAAAAAACAAAAAAAAUGCAUAGUAUAGUGGAGGGAACCUCUCCACACAGUAAAAUUGAACCUCUCCGUGGACAAAAGUGAACCUCUAGACAUAGUUUUUUUGGAAAGAACUGCAAGUAUUUUUUUAAUGCUUUUUAUGUUGUUUCACUCAUCACACAGACUAGCGAGCUGAAUUUUAGAAGAAGUAAACUUCUCGUGAUGUUUUUCUUUUUCUCGUUUUGCAAAAUGAACCACAAAGGAAUUUUACAAAGAACUACAUCCCGUGUAACAUAUUUUCUCUACAUAAAAGCCACUGCAAAUUUACACAUAUCAUCCUUUAACACAAGCAGUACACACAGGACACACCCAAACCUGCAUCCACAACCAGCCGAACUGCAUCGACGAUUGAGCAAAGCUGGACUGAAAGCACCUAUCUGCAAGAAAAGUAAUACCAAACCGCAAUGGAGCGCUACUGAGUUGCAUCACUGCCACGACUUCCCUGCUGCUCCCACCAAAGUUGUUGACAUCGCCGUCCUUCCUUGUGCCUACAAGUGAACCUCAAGAGACAUGCGUUUGAAGAAUUGAACCACACAUCAAAAAAUAAAGUGCAGAGUAUAUCAAAGAGCAAAAAAAAAUGCAUCUACAUAGAAACGCCCGGAGUAAUCUGACGUUCUCCCGGCGCCAAGGACUACCCCGCGGGGGUGAGGUGCACUACGCUGAGUAUUUGAAAGGACUUCAUGUCAGUAACCGCUCGCGGUUGGGAGAGAGCAGAGAGGUUCAGGGAAGGGUGGCGAGGGGCAGACGUGGUUACCGGCGUCGAUGGGAGGAGGGCUGCCGCGAGGGAUGCAUGGGGG
rnacentral:lncRNA from 1 species